GGUGACGUGUCUGAGCGGCCUAAAGAGCACGCCUCGAAAGCGUGUGAGGAUUCUGUCCUCCGUGGGUUCAAAUCCCACCGUCACCGCCA
rnacentral:tRNA from 1 species